rnacentral:rRNA from 1 species
GCGGAGGGGAGGCUAGCGUUGUUCGGAAUUACUGGGCGUAAAGCGCACGUAGGCGGCUUUGUAAGUUAGAGGUGAAAGCCCGGGGCUCAACUCCGGAAUUGCCUUUAAGACUGCAUCGCUUGAAUCCGGGAGAGGUGAGUGGAAUUCCGAGUGUAGAGGUGAAAUUCGUAGAUAUUCGGAAGAACACCAGUGGCGAAGGCGGCUCACUGGACCGGUAUUGACGCUGAGGUGCGAAAGCGUGGGGAGCAAACAGG